GAGGAUGUAGCUAAGUUGGUAAAGUGCUUGCCUAGUAUGCGCAAGCCUGGACUUGAUCCCCAGCACCCUCA
rnacentral:tRNA from 1 species